GCGGGUGUAGUUCAAUGGUAGAAUGCAAGCUUCCCAAGCUCGAGACGAGGGUUCGAUUCCCUUCACCCGCUCCA
rnacentral:tRNA from 2 species